GUGGGGAAUUUUGGACAAUGGGGGCAACCCUGAUCCAGCCAUGCCGCGUGAGUGAAGAAGGCCUUCGGGUUGUAAAGCUCUUUCGGCCGGGAAAAAAUCGCCUCUCCUAAUACGGGGGGUGGAUGAUGGUACCGGACUAAGAAGCACCGGCUAACUACGUGCCAGCAGCCGCGGUAAUACGUAGGGUGCGAGCGUUAAUCGGAAUUACUGGGCGUAAAGCGUGCGCAGGCGGUUUUUUAAGACAGGCGUGAAAUCCCCGGGCUUAACCUGGGAACUGCGCUUGUGACUGGAAGGCUAGAGUACGGCAGAGGGGGGUGGAAUUCCACGUGUAGCAGUGAAAUGCGUAGAGAUGUGGAGGAACACCGAUGGCGAAGGCAGCCCCCUGGGCCGAUACUGACGCUCAUGCACGAAAGCGUGGGGAGCAAACAGGAUUAGAAACCCCAGUAGUCC
rnacentral:rRNA from 1 species